rnacentral:rRNA from 1 species
GCCCCCGCCUCGCCCGCCGCGCGCGGCGGGCGGGGCGGGGGCACGGGGGGCCGACGGUGAGGGGUGAAAGCUAGGGGCACGAACCGGAUUAGAUACCCGGGUAGUCCUAGCCGUAAACGAUACUCGCUAGGUGUCGGCCACGGUGCGACCGUUGUCGGUGCCGUAGGGAAGCCGUGAAGCGAGCCACCUGGGAAGUACGGCCGCAAGGCUGAAACUUAAAGGAAUUGGCGGGGGAGCACCACAACGGGUGGAGCGUGCGGUUUAAUUGGAUUCAACGCCGGAAAUCUUACCGGGACCGACAGCAAUAUGAAGGCCAGGCUGAAGACUUUGCCGGCUUAGC